rnacentral:rRNA from 1 species
UACAGGGGGUGCAAACGUUGCUCGGAAUCAUUGGGCGUAAAGCGCACGUAGGCGGUUCGUUAUGUCGGAUGUGAAAGCCCUUGGCUUAACCGAGGAAGUGCAUCCGAAACUGGCGAGCUAGAGUACGAAAGAGGAUCGCGGAAUUCCUGGUGUAGCGGUGAAAUGCGUAGAUAUCAGGAGGAACACCGGUGGCGAAGGCGGCUACCUGGACAGAAACUGACGCUGAGGCACGAAAGCUAGGGAGCAAACAGG